rnacentral:rRNA from 1 species
CCUACGGGAGGCAGCAGUGGGGAAUAUUGGACAAUGGAGGAAACUCUGAUGCAGCAACGCCGCGUGAGUGAUGAAGGACUUCGGAAUGUAAAGCUCUGUCAGGAGGGAUGAAAACAAUGAUGGUACCCUAAUAGCAAGCGGCUGCUAACUACGCGCCAGCCGCGGCGGUACUACGUAGGGGGCAAGCGUUAGCCCGAAUUGCUGGUCGUAAAGGCAGCGUAGGUGGUUUAGGAAGGUUGCGGUGAAAUCCCCGCGCUCAACGUCGGUACUACCGUUGAAACUAGCAAACUAGAGUGUGGGAGAGGAUAGUGGAAUUCCAGGUGUAGGAGUGGAAUCCGUAGAUAUUUGGAGGAACAUCAGGGGCGAAGGCGACUAUCUGGACUAUAACUGACGCUGAGGCGCGAAAGCGUGGGUAGCAAACAGGAUUAGAUACCCGUGUAGUC